GAUUAGAUGUCUGAGUUAAGGUAAUAAAUUGUAAAUUUAUUUAGGGUUUAUUCCUCUAAUCA
rnacentral:tRNA from 1 species